GGAGCUUCCAGCUAUCAUAGAGGGGAAAAGUCAAGGGCAAAUUAUUCACCGUUUAUUUUCUCUCCAACAGAUUGUUCUAACCCUAAGAGUAAGGCAGAGAGGCAUCUGUCCGUCCGCCUUUCUAUCUACCUGUCCAAAGAGAGCCAAACAUUUGCAGUUUCCCGAUUCUCCUAAAAUCCUGAAAGAACCAAAAACCCAGGAUUCAAUUUAAACCCAAAUUUUGACGCAAAUCAACCUGAUGGCCCGUUGUAGACCCGAUGGACCCUUGUAGACCCGAUGGACCCUUGUAGACCCGAUGGACCCUUGUAGACCCGAUGGACCCUUGUAGACCCGAUGGACCCUUGUAGACCCGAUGGACCCUUGUGGACCCGAUGGACCCUUGUAGACCCGAUGGACCCUUGUAGACCCGAUGGACCCUUGUAGACCCGAUGGACCUGACGUUCAUGUUGCAGAAUGUGAGCCGACCGACUGCAGGGAAACGGUCAGGAAGUGGCUUCAUUAGGCGUCACAACGGGAGGAAGGAACCAAGGAACCAGAGUGACGCCGACCAGAGUCGGACCUGGGUCAGCCCAACUGGUCCUGGUUCCUUCAGAACCAGACUGGACCUCAUGAUGCUGAUCUUCAUGGACCACAGACUGAUAAUCUGGUUGUUAAAAGGAGUCAAAUCUACAGAUCUACUCCUGUUUUCUUAAAUCAAACAUAAUAUUAAUAUUUGAACCUUUUGGAAACACAUUUUUGGAAAUAUGCUAAUUUUUAUGCUAAUUCCAAUAAAGUGGAGGAAUUACCUGUCAGAGCUUUAUUUAAUUCCAAUAAAGCUCUGACACGUCUACAUCAUAAUGUACCAUUA